CUACGGGGCGCUGCAGUGAGGAAUUUUGCGCAAUGGGGGAAACCCUGACGCAGCAACGCCGCGUGAGUGAUGAAGGCUUUCGGGUCGUAAAGCUCUGUCAAGUGGGAAGAACAUACAUAAGGCCAAUACCUUUAUGUACUGACGGUACCACUGAAGGAAGCACCGGCUAACUCCGUGCCAGCAGCCGCGGUAAUACGGGGGGUGCAAGCGUUAUUCGGAAUCAUUGGGCGUAAAGAGCACGUAGGCGGUUAUCUAAGUCAGAUGUGAAAGCCCGGGGCUUAACCCCGGAAGUGCAUUUGAUACUGGGAAACUUGAGUAUGGGAGAGGGAAGUGGAAUUCCUGGUGUAGAGGUGAAAUUCGUAGAUAUCAGGAGGAACACCGGUGGCGAAGGCGACUUCCUGGACCAAUACUGACGCUGAGGUGCGAAGGCGUGGGGAGCAAACAGGAUUAGAUACCCCAGUAGUC
rnacentral:rRNA from 1 species